GCUGGGUGUGGUGGCGGGCACCUGUAAUCCCAGUACUUGGGAGGCGGAGGCAGGAGAAUCUCUUGAAUCCAGGAGGUGGAGUUUGCAGUGAGCCAAGAUCAUGCCACUGCACUCCAGCCUGGGUGACAGAGUGAGACUCUGUCUCAA
rnacentral:SRP_RNA from 1 species